rnacentral:rRNA from 1 species
UACGGGGGGAGCAAGCGUUGUUCGGAUUUACUGGGCGUAAAGGGCGGGUAGGCGGCCACCGCAAGUCGACUGUGAAAUCUCCGGGCUUAACCCGGAAAGGUCAGCCGAUACUGCGGGGCUAAAGUGCAGAAGGGGCAACUGGAAUUCUCGGUGUAGCGGUGAAAUGCGUAGAUAUCGAGAGGAACACCUGCGGCGAAGGCGGGUUGCUGGGCUGACACUGACGCUGAUGCGCGAAAGCCAGGGGAGCAAACGGG